rnacentral:lncRNA from 1 species
UUUUUUUCCACAGAGACUUGCUCUGUCGCCCAGGCUGGAGUGCAGUGGCAUGAUCUUGGCUUAGUAGCUGGGACUACAGGCGUAUGCCACCAUGCCCAGCUAAUUUUUUGUAUUUUUAGUAGAGAUGGGGUUUCACCAUAUUGCCCAGGCUGGUCUCGAACUCCUGAGCUCAGGCAGUCCACCCACCUCAGCCUCCUAAAGUGCUGGGAUUACAGGCAUGAGCUACCACGCCCGACCAUUUUGCUUUUUUAUAUGGACACUAUGAAUCAUGGACUGAUAGUGUGUUACACUUAGCAGCAAGGAAGCUCUGAGCCAAUUUGUAGCCUACCUUUGCAUCAGGGGUGGCUUAAUCAGACUUAAAGACCUAUUUGAAAUUCUCUGCCUAAGUUGGAGUCAAAACUGCUCAAGGUUCAAAUAGUAUUACAGACCUGUUUAGUCUUUAACUAUUAAAAAGAACUACCAUGUUCUCACUCAUAAAUGGUAGCUAAAUAAUGUGUACACAUGGACGUGGAUAAUGGAGUGAUGGGUAAAGGAGACUUGGAAGGGUGGGGUGGAAGAGUGGGGUGGGAGGGAGUAGAUGAGAAAUAAUGAGUACAAUGUAUGUUAUUUGGGUGACGGAUACCCUAAAAACCCUCACUUUGCCACUAUGUGGUCUAUGCAUAUAACAAAAUUGUGCUUGUACCCCAUAAAUGUAUACAAUUAUUUUAACCUCCAUGUCAGAAUCCACCCUUCCUUAUUUAGUGAAUUGCUCCUUUAUUCAGUGAUUCUUAACUGAGGGUAUGCAUACAUCUUUGGGGCUGAGUGGAAGAAGGUGGUGGUAGUGAGAUGCCCUUUCUAGGGAUACAAAAUGUGCUAGAUUUGUUUGUAACAUACAUUAUUGAAAACAAGUUAAGCCAUAACUAUAAUUCACCAAUAAAGGACUUACAGGUGUUCAUAACUUGUCUAAGCUCAAAUCUCCCAUAUAUAACUUGCUGGCAAAUCAUUUAUUCCAGGGCAUUAGCUAUGAGUUGCUAGCUUUAAGUUGAACUAUAUCCUGUCAUGGCUUACUUCGAAUUGACAUGCUGCAGGC